rnacentral:rRNA from 1 species
CGAACGGGUGAGUAACGCGUAGAUGAUCUACCUUUUGGUUGGGGAUAGCUUCAUGGAAACAUGGGGUAAUACCCGAAUAAGAUCCUUAUUGCUUUGGCGAUUGGAUGAAAGGGGCUUCGGCCUCGCCGAGAAGAUGAGUCUGCAUAUGAUUAGCUAGUUGGUGUGGUAAAGGCGCACCAAGGCGACGAUCAUUAGCCGGCCUGAGAGGGUGACCGGCCCACAUUGGGACUGAGACACGGCCCAGACUCCUACGGGAGGCAGCAGCUAAGAAUCUUCCGCAAUGGGCGAAAGCCUGACGGAGCGACGCCGCGUGGGUGAAGAAGGCGGAGACGUUGUAAAGCCCUUUUCUCACAGAAGAAUAAGUUUCAGAGGUAAUGCUGGAGCGAUGACGUUAUGUGAGGAAUAAGCACCGGCCAAUUACGUGCCAGCAGCCGCGGUAACACGUAAGGUGCGAGCGUUGUUCGGAAUUAUUGGGCGUAGAGGGCUCGUAGGCGGCCUACCAAGUCUCACGUGAAAGACCAGGGCUCAACCCUGGGAACGCGAGAGAAACUGGUAAGCUGGAAUCUUGGAGGGGGUACUGGAAUUCCUGGUGUAGGGGUGAAAUCUGUUGAUAUCAGGAAGAACACCGGAGGCGAAGGCGAGUACCUGGCCAAAGAUUGACGCUGAUGAGCGAAAGCGUAGGGAGCGAACAGGAUUAGAUACCC